rnacentral:rRNA from 1 species
AGUGAACGCUGGCGGCAGGCCUAACACAUGCAAGUCGAACGGCAGCACAGUAAGAGCUUGCUCUUACGGGUGGCGAGUGGCGGACGGGUGAGGAAUACAUCGGAAUCUACUUUUUCGUGGGGGAUAACGUAGGGAAACUUACGCUAAUACCGCAUACGACCUACGGGUGAAAGCAGGGGAUCUUCGGACCUUGCGCGAUUGAAUGAGCCGAUGUCGGAUUAGCUAGUUGGCGGGGUAAAGGCCCACCAAGGCGACGAUCCGUAGCUGGUCUGAGAGGAUGAUCAGCCACACUGGAACUGAGACACGGUCCAGACUCCUACGGGAGGCAGCAGUGGGGAAUAUUGGACAAUGGGCACAAGCCUGAUCCAGCCAUACCGCGUGGGUGAAGAAGGCCUUCGGGUUGUAAAGCCCUUUUGUUGGGAAAGAAAAGCAGCAGGUUAAUACCCCGCUGUUCUGACGGUACCCAAAGAAUAAGCACCGGCUAACUUCGUG